rnacentral:rRNA from 1 species
UACGUAGGGCGCAAGCGUUGUCCGGAAUUAUUGGGCGUAAAGAGCUCGUAGGCGGCUUGUCACGUCGGGUGUGAAAGCCCGGGGCUUAACCCCGGGUCUGCAUUCGAUACGGGCGGACUAGAGUUCGGUAGGGGAGACUGGAAUUCCUGGUGUAGCGGUGAAAUGCGCAGAUAUCAGGAGGAACACCGGUGGCGAAGGCGGGUCUCUGGGCCGAUACUGACGCUGAGGGGCGAAAGCGUGGGGAGCGAACAGG